rnacentral:rRNA from 1 species
AUACGUAGGGUGCAAGCGUUAAUCGGAAUUACUGGGCGUAAAGCGUGCGCAGGCGGUUUUGUAAGACAGAGGUGAAAUCCCCGGGCUCAACCUGGGAAAUGCCUUUGUGACUGCAAGGCUAGAGUACGGGAGAGGGGGAUGGAAUUCCGCGUGUAGUAGUGGAAUGCGGAGAUAUGCGGAGGAACACCGAUGGCGAAGGCAAUCCCCUGGGCCUGUACUGACGCUCAUGCACGAAAGCGUGGGGAGCAAACAGGAUUAGAUACCCUGGUAGUCCACGCCCUAAACGAUGUCAACUGGUUGUUGGGUCUUCAUUGACUCAGUAACGAAGCUAACGCGUGAAGUUGACCGCCUGGGGAGUACGGCCGCAAGGUUGAAACUCAAAUGAAUUGACGGGG